GUGGGGAGGGGGCUAGGCGGAGGCUGGAAGGCUGGCCCCCGCCCUGGGUCGAGGAAGGAGCGGGCUGGAGGCCCGGGCUCGCCUGGAAACUUAGAUUCUUGGUAUGGUUGGAGAUCUGAGGAGUGUCUUGCAACUGACAUGAUUGUAAAAGUUUUUUUUUUUUAAACGUAUGAAAUGAAACCUCUACUUCAAUCCUCCUACUGCGUACAGUCGCCAAUGUCAACAGUGGAACCGAUCUCUUCAUGGGAGGAGGACCGCAAGUUCGUCCUGCGAGCCUGGUGUCUUGUCUUCAUCAUCCUGGCAACCGCGAUGCUGCUCAGCGUGCUGGACGGGCGUAUGGCCUACCUGCACGGCGCCUACACCGGCUACGUGGGCUUCUGGACCAACUGCAAGAAGCAUACAUGUGCCGACCUGCGCCAAGUCACGGUUCUCAUCCACAUGAGCAUGGGCUUCAUGAUCCUGGCCGUGAUCCUGGCUCUAGUUCUCCUCCUGGCCAUGGGCUUCUCCUUCCGGCCAGCACUCCGCCGUCUUAACAAGACUGACCUCGUCUUCAGUACCCUCAGCUCCUUCACUGUCAUGCAGGAUGGGAGAGGAUGUCUCUGGCUCGCUUCUCUUUCUGGAGGUCUCUGGGUCCCUGUCCAGCCUCGUGUCCAUCUCUGGCCCCAUCUCAGUGCAGGGCUCCUGAUUCUCCUCAGCCUGACGCUCUUUAUAGCCAACUGCGAGAUGCUCAAACCGAGGCCACAGGAAUCCUGAGCUACUUAAACUACAUGGGCAUGUGGGGCAAAGGGACGUCCUCCACGGAACGGCGGAUGAGCUACCGCCGGUGGGCCUCGCUGCAGAACACCCGGAAGUCCAUAUCCGAACAGCUGUCGUCGGACGCAGGCUCCAAGCACGCCGAGGAC
rnacentral:lncRNA from 1 species